UACGUAGGGGGCAAGCGUUGUCCGGAAUCAUUGGGCGUAAAGCGCGUGUAGGCGGCUCGGUAAGUCUGCUGUGAAAGUCCAGGGCUCAACCCUGGGAUGCCGGUGGAUACUGUCGAGCUCGAGUCCGGAAGAGGCGAGUGGAAUUCCCGGUGUAGCGGUGAAAUGCGCAGAUAUCAGGAGGAACACCGAUGGCGAAGGCAGCUCGCUGGGACGUGACUGACGCUGAGACGCGAAAGCGUGGGGAGCAAACAGG
rnacentral:rRNA from 1 species